ensembl:snRNA U6 U6 spliceosomal RNA
GUGCUCGCUUCAGCAGCACAUAUACUAAAAUUGGAAUGAUACAGAGAAGAUUAGCAUGGCCCCUGUGCAAGGAUGACAUGCAAAUUCAUUAAGUGUUUCAUAUUAAA